ACUGGCGGCGUGCCUAACACAUGCAAGUCGAACGGAGAUUAGACGCUGACGAGACUUCGGUCAAAUCUUGUUUAAUCUUAGUGGCGGACGGGUGAGUAACGCGUGGGCAACCUGCCUCAUACUGGGGGGAUAGCAGUUGGAAACGACUGAUAAUACCGCAUAAGCGCACAGCAUCGCAUGAUGCAGUGUGAAAAACUCCGGUGGUAUGAGAUGGGCCCGCGUCAGAUUAGCUAGUUGGUGAGGUAACGGCCCACCAAGGCGACGAUCUGUAGCCGGCCUGAGAGGGCGGACGGCCACAUUGGGACUGAGACACGGCCCAAACUCCUACGGGAGGCAGCAGUGGGGGAUAUUGCACAAUGGAGGAAACUCUGAUGCAGCGACGCCGCGUGAAGUGAAGAAGUAUUUCGGUAUGUAAAGCUCUAUCAGCAGGGAAGAAAGACUCGCAAGAGAGAUGACGGUACCUGACUAAGAAGCCCCGGCUAACUACGUGCCAGCCGCCGC
rnacentral:rRNA from 1 species